rnacentral:rRNA from 1 species
AACGAACGCUGGCGGCAGGCUUAACACAUGCAAGUCGAACGCCUGGGAGCGAUCCCGGGAGUGGCAGACGGGUGAGUAACACGUGGGAACAUACCCUUUGGUUCGGAACAACUCUGGGAAACUAGAGCUAAUACCGGAUAAGCCUCUGGAGCGAUUUGGGGGGAAAGGUUGAUCUGCCUGAGGAUUGGCCCGCGUCCGAUUAGCUUGUUGGUGGGGUAACGGCUCACCAAGGCUUCGAUCGGUAGCUGGUCUGAGAGGAUGGCCAGCCACAUCGGGGCUGAGACACGGCCCAAACUCCUACGGGAGGCAGCAGGUGGGGAAUAUUGGACAAUGGGCGCAAGCCUGAUCCAGCCAUGCCGCGUGAGUGAUGACGGCCUUAGGGUUGUAAAGCUCUUUCGCACGCGACGAUAAUGACGGUAGCGUGAGAAGAAGCCCCGGCUAACUUCGUGCCAGCAGCCGCAGUAAG